GAUGAACGCUGGCGGCGUGCUUAACACAUGCAAGUCGAACGAAGCAAUUAGAGUGCUUGCACUUUGAUUGACUGAGUGGCGGACGGGUGAGUAACGCGUGGGUAACCUGCCUCACACAGGGGGAUAACAGUUGGAAACGGCUGCUAAUACCGCAUAAGCGCACAGUACCGCAUGGUACAGUGUGAAAAACUCCGGUGGUGUGAGAUGGACCCGCGUCUGAUUAGCUGGUUGGUGAGGUAACGGCCCACCAAGGCGACGAUCGGUAGCCGGACUGAGAGGUUGAACGGCCACAUUGGGACUGAGACACGGCCCAG
rnacentral:rRNA from 1 species